rnacentral:rRNA from 1 species
GACGUAGGGGGCCAGCGUUGCUCGGAAUUACUGGGCGUAAAGCGUGCGUAGACGGUUACAUAAGUCGGGUGUGAAAGCCCCGGGCUCAACCUGGGAAUUGCAUUCGAGACUGCGUAGCUAGGGUGCGGAAGAGGGAAGCGGAAUUUCCGGUGUAGCGGUGAAAUGCGUAGAUAUUGGGAGGAACACCAGUGGCGAAGGCGGCUAUCUGGACGAACACUGACGCUGAGACACGAAAGCGUGGGGAGCAAACAGG